rnacentral:lncRNA from 1 species
UGACUGGUGAAAGAAUUUAGAAAGAAUGUAUGGGGACAAAAAGGAAUCACAUGAGCUGAUUUAAAUUCUUCUUGUGACAAGGGGUGUGUGCAAACAUGAAGGAACUAGGGUUUUGUUUGUAAAUGUUUAUCGGUUUGGGAGAGGCAAAGAUCACAGACUGUGAUAUUCUUGGGAUAAACAGCUCAAUAUGUUGGUCCCAAGCGACACCAUGUGGAAUUGAGAAGAGGGCCAUUCUCAUCUAAACACCCAUCGGAGCCCAGUGCCACUGUCACAAUGCUCUCAUGCCAAACCUUGACUGCAAAGCUGAGAUGUUAAUAUGGAACACCUGAGAGGGCUGGCACUUCAGCGUCCUUAUUCCUCCAGAACCACACCACAAAAGUCACCUUCUCCCCAG